rnacentral:rRNA from 1 species
AGUGAACGCUGGCGGUAGGCCUAACACAUGCCAGUCGAACGGCAGCACAGUAAGAGCUUGCUCUUACGGGUGGCGAGUGGCGGACGGGUGAGGAGUACAUCGGAAUCUACUUUUUCGUGGGGGAUAACGUAGGGAAACUUACGCUAAUACCGCAUACGACCUACGGGUGAAAGCAGGGGAUCUUCGGACCUUGCGCGAUUGAAUGAGCCGAUGUCGGAUUAGCUAGUUGGCGGGGUAAAGGCCCACCAAGGCGACGAUCCGUAGCUGGUCUGAGAGGAUGAACAGCCACACUGGAACUGAGACACGGUCCAGACUCCUACGGGAGGCAGCAGUGGGGAAUAUUGGACAAUGGGCGCAAGCCUGAUCCAGCCAUACCGCGUGGGUGAAGAAGGCCUUCGGGUUGUAAAGCCCUUUUGUUGGGAAAGAAAAGCAGCAGGUUAAUACCCCGCUGUUCUGACGGUACCCAAAGAAUAAGCACCGGCUAACUUCGUG